CGAACGCUGGCGGCGUGCUUAACACAUGCAAGUCGAACGGAAAGGCCCUGCUUUUGUGGGGUGCUCGAGUGGCGAACGGGUGAGUAACACGUGAGUAACCUGCCCUUGACUUUGGGAUAACUUCAGGAAACUGGGGCUAAUACCGGAUAGGAGCUCCUGCUGCAUGGUGGGGGUUGGAAAGUUUCGGCGGUUGGGGAUGGACUCGCGGCUUAUCAGCUUGUUGGUGGGGUAGUGGCUUACCAAGGCUUUGACGGGUAGCCGGCCUGAGAGGGUGACCGGCCACAUUGGGACUGAGAUACGGCCCAGACUCCUACGGGAGGCAGCAGUGGGGAAUAUUGCACAAUGGGCGGAAGCCUGAUGCAGCAACGCCGCGUGCGGGAUGACGGCCUUCGGGUUGUAAACCGCUUUCGCCUGUGACGAAGCGUGAGUGACGGUAAUGGGUAAAGAAGCACCGGCUAACUACGUGCCAGCAGCCGCGGUGAUACGUAGGGUGCGAGCGUUGUCCGGAUUUAUUGGGCGUAAAGGGCUCGUAGGUGGUUGAUCGCGUCGGAAGUGUAAUCUUGGGGCUUAACCCUGAGCGUGCUUUCGAUACGGGUUGACUUGAGGAAGGUAGGGGAGAAUGGAAUUCCUGGUGGAGCGGUGGAAUGCGCAGAUAUCAGGAGGAACACCAGUGGCGAAGGCGGUUCUCUGGGCCUUUCCUGACGCUGAGGAGCGAAAGCGUGGGGAGCGAACAGGCUUAGAUACCCUGGUAGUCCACGCUGUAAACGGUGGGUACUAGGUGUGGGGUCCAUUCCACGGGUUCCGUGCCGUAGCUAACGCUUUAAGUACCCCGCCUGGGGAGUACGGCCGCAAGGCUAAAACUCAAAGGAAUUGACGGGGCCCCGCACAAGCGGCGGAGCAUGCGGAUUAAUUCGAUGCAACACGUAGAACCUUACCUGGGUUUGACAUGGAUCGGGAGUGCUCAGAGAUGGGUGUGCCUCUUUUGGGGUCGGUUCACAGGUGGUGCAUGGCUGUCGUCAGCUCGUGUCGUGAGAUGUUGGGUUAAGUCCCGCAACGAGCGCAACCCUUGUUCACUGUUGCCAGCACGUUAUGGUGGGGACUCAGUGGAGACCGCCGGGGUCAACUCGGAGGAAGGUGGGGAUGACGUCAAGUCAUCAUGCCCCUUAUGUCCAGGGCUUCACGCAUGCUACAAUGGCUGGUACAGAGAGUGGCGAGCCUGUGAGGGUGAGCGAAUCUCGGAAAGCCGGUCUCAGUUCGGAUUGGGGUCUGCAACUCGACCUCAUGAAGUCGGAGUCGCUAGUAAUCGCAGAUCAGCAACGCUGCGGUGAAUACGUUCCCGGGGCUUGUACACACCGCCCGUCAAGUCAUGAAAGUUGGUAACACCCGAAGCCGGUGGCCUAACCGUUGUGGGGGAGCCGUCGAAGGUGGGACUGGUGAUUAGGACUAAGU
rnacentral:rRNA from 1 species